GCUCUUAAUGCACCUGUGUUUGAGUUGGAUGCUCUGGCAUCUCAGUUCCUAUUAGGCAGCUUUAAAAUUGCUCUGCACAUCUUUCGUGGCUCAGCACCUAUCUCAGUUCAGCACUUCUUGGAGUUAAUUAAAAGCAGGAUGGCCUGUGACAGCUGGAACAUUACCUUUGGUCUCUUCCCUGCAGGGAGAAACUCCCUGAAAUGAAAGCUCGGCCAGAAGCUGGGGUUUCCUGGGUCUGAGAUCAUUGAUGAAAAUGUUGACUAGCAAUGGGCCUAGUACUGAAUCCUGUGGAACCCCAUCAGAAACAUCCCUAUUUGAUGAUGAUUCCCCAUUGCCAACUACUUUUUGAGAUCUGACAGUUAGCCAGUUCUUCAUCCAUUUAACGUUUGCUUAACUGACGUCGUAAAAUGCUACUUUUUAAAAUCGGAAUGUUGUG